rnacentral:rRNA from 1 species
UACGAGAGGCCCAAACGUUAAUCGGAAUUACUGGGCGUAAAGUGUGCGCAGGCGGCCGAGCAAAUCGAGUGUGAAAGCCCCGGGCUUAACUUGGGAAUUGCGCUCGAAACUACUUUGCUGGAGUGUGGCAGAGGAAGGUGGAAUUCCACGUGUAGCGGUGAAAUGCGUAGAGAUGUGGAGGAACACCAAUGGCGAAGGCAGCCUUCUGGGCCAACACUGACGCUCAUGCACGAAAGCGUGGGGAGCAAACAGG